AUGUUAUCAAGAAAGGUAGAGGGAAUAGACCCGUUGAAACCUUGGCAACCCUUUAUCAGCCCUGAUGCCUAUCGGGGUAUUAAAGAAGGUGCUACGUUCUACUAAUAUUUUAUAGUAUUAGAAAGAUAACGA
rnacentral:ncRNA from 2 species